rnacentral:rRNA from 1 species
UGGGGAAUCUUGGACAAUGGGGGCAACCCUGAUCCAGCCAUGCCGCGUGAGUGAUGAAGGCCUUAGGGUCGUAAAGCUCUUUCGCCUGUGAAGAUAAUGACGGUAGCAGGUAAAGAAACCCCGGCUAACUCCGUGCCAGCAGCCGCGGUAAUACGGAGGGGGUUAGCGUUGUUCGGAAUUACUGGGCGUAAAGCGCACGUAGGCGGACCAGAAAGUUGGGGGUGAAAUCCCGGGGGCUCAACCCCGGAACUGCCUCCAAAACUAUUGGUCUAGAGUUCGAGAGAGGUGAGUGGAAUUCCAAGUGUAGAGGUGAAAUUCGUAGAUAUUUGGAGGAACACCAGUGGCGAAGGCGGCUCACUGGCUCGAUACUGACCUGAGGUGCGAAAGUGUGGGGAGCAAACAGGAUUAGAUACCCUGGUAGUCCACACCGUAAAACGAUGAAUGCCAGUCGUCGGGUAGCAUGCUAUUCGGUGACACACCU